UCGGGAAUUUUGGGCAAUGGGCGCAAGCCUGAUCCAGCCAUGCCGCGUGAGUGAAGAAGGCCUUCGGGUUGUAAAGCUCUUUUACCAGGGACGAUAAUGACGGUACCUGGAGAAUAAGCCCCGGCAAACUUCGUGCCAGCAGCCGCGGUAAUACGAAGGGGGCUAGCGUUGUUCGGAAUUACUGGGCGUAAAGCGCACGUAGGCGGAUUGUUAAGUCAGAGGUGAAAUCCCGGAGCUCAACUUCGGAACUGCCUUUGAUACUGGCAAUCUAGAGUCCGGAAGAGGUUAGUGGAAUUCCCAGUGUAGAGGUGAAAUUCGUAGAUAUUGGGAAGAACACCAGUGGCGAAGGCGGCUAACUGGUCCGGUACUGACGCUGAGGUGCGAAAGCGUGGGGAGCAAACAGGAUUAGAUACCCUUGUAGUCCCUGAGCGGGCUGGCAAGGCGCAU
rnacentral:rRNA from 1 species